AGGAGGAAGAAGAAUAAGCAGGAAGAAUAAUAAGAAGGAAGAAAGAGAAAAAGAGUAAAGGGAAGGGUAAGGCACCAGAGCCAAGACCAAGCCCAAAAAUCUUGAAGUAAACAAACAAAGCCCUUGGACCACCACUAACAGGGUCUUGGCGUGGUCCCAUGGCCUGACCACCACCCCAAAACACUGAAGGAGGAAGAAGACUAAGCAGGGCGCCUCACCUCUGCCUCCCUCAGGACGACAGGGCAGUUGCCACGCCCCUGACACCCUCGCAGGACAACGCCAGGCCAGGUCCACUUGGUCCGGUAAUGCAUAUCUUGCCGUUCUGCAGAGUGACGUGUACCCAGGUAUUGGCGGCUCAUCAGGAACUGUCCUCAGGUGUGCUGAGGUGUGUGGCCGGGCGGGCUGCAGCAUCUACCAGUAAGCAUGAGUGAUGAGGUGGAGGAGAAUGGCAUCAGGAUCAACAUUCAGGGCACUUGCCACGCCCCCAAGAAGAAUGAGGUCAUGUAUAACUCGGAGAUGCUCGUCAACAGGUCGCUGGUGCUGUGUGCUCUGAUGGCGUUCAAGGAGUCUGGCCUGUGUACCAACGCCCAAGUGAGGUGUCUUGAUGCCCUCGGAGCCACUGGUGUCUCUGGCCUCACCUGGGCGAGGCAUCUUCCAGAGGUUGCCGUGACCAUCAACGACCAGCUACCAGCGGCCAAGGAGAGGAUCACCGCCAACGCCGCCACUAACAAGCUGGACGUCACCGUCACCACCGAGGACGUCAGUGUCUUGCUCCUCCAGCGACCCUUCGACUUUGUGUUCCUGGACUGCUAUGGGUCAUCGGUUCACUACCUGGAUGCAGCCUUUCGCAAUGCCCCCAAGCACAGCGUCCUUGCCAUCACCUCCACAGACGACGCGGCGCUGUACGGCAAGGCGGCGGACGUCACUCUGAGAAACUAUGGCGGCUACAUGGUGAAGACGUCCUAUGUGAAAGAGCUGGCCGCCAGGCUUGUCUUGGGCAGCGUGGUGAGAGCUGCCGCUAAGAGCAACAAGGGCGUGGAGGUCCUCUGCUGCAUUGCCCUCAAGAGCUUCAUCACGGUAAUGGUCAGGGUGCUCAGGGGUCCAACGGCAGCCAAUCGGUGCGUCAGAAAGAUCCGUCGCGUCAUCCACUGCUGUGUCUGCGAGGACCGAGCGUUCUAUCCCGAAACUGUGUACCCCAUAGAGGAGCCGUACUCUCUGCUCUCGUGUGACUGCCGCAGUAAGCUAGGCACCAGGCUGUCGGUGGAGCUUGGGCCUGUGUGGUGUGAUGAGAUAUUUGACGCCAGCUUCUGCCAGUCCAUGCUGACCCAAGCCACCAACCUGCAGCUCCCACACAAAGUGAUCACCCUCCUCCAGACGAUAGUGAAUGAAGCGAAGUGCAAGGAGGAACUGGGAGCGGAUAACACAGAAACUGAGGGCAAGGAGAACACAGUGAGUGGAGUAGCGGAAGACAAGCCUGCACGAGUGGAGGAAGAGGAGGAGGACGAGGAGGAGGAGGAGGAAAGGGAGGAGGAGGUGGAGGACGAGGAAGAGGAGGAGGAUGACGGACAGAGGUUGCCCAAGAGAGCCAGGAGAGACUACGACGCGGUGUUGAGGUCGCCGGCGUUCUAUUUCAACCUUCAUCGGCAUUCACCCAAAGGGCAUGACCUCGGCAAGAUCAAGCGUGUCGUCGACUACCUCCGCCGGGCUCACCACAAAGCCAGCCGCACGCAUUUCGACCCUGAGGCCAUCCGCACCGACUGUACCCUCCAGGAGUUCACGCGACUUCUGCUCAAGUUCUCCAAGGCACAGAAUUAGUGAGUGUUGGUUAGGGGAAGCAGGAUGGUUGAGGAUGAAUUGACUUAUUUGAUUUUAUAAGAUUUUGGAAGAAGGAAGGAGACUAACUUGGUGGGGAUAGGAAAGGAAGUUUGGGAGCACAAGAUGAAGUUACUAAGGAGACAAGAACAGACAUAUUUGAUUUAUUAGCUUCUCAUCAUCCCUCUCUCCCUUGCCAAAAGACAUGUCGAGUGUAGUGUUUUUGAAUAGUUACUUUCCAUGGUCAUGUCAUUUUAAUUUAGGUCCAUUUCUCUCCUCUACUGAAGAUUACGAGCUCAAGGAAAUGUGAAAUGCAGUGUUUUUUCAAUAUUUGCUUUCCCAGGUCAUGUAUCUCUUGCAGUCUUUACAUUUAGGUCCAUUUAUCUCCUCUACUGAAGAUUACGAGCUCAAGGAAAUGUGAAAUGCAGUGUUUUUUUCAAUAUUUGCUUUCCCAGGUCAUGUAUCUCUUGCAAUCUUUACAUUUAGGUCCAUUUAUCUCCUCUACUGAAGAUUACGAGCUCAAGGAAAUGCAAAAUGUAGCGUUUUUUUCAAUAUUUGCUUUCCCAGGUCAUGUGUCUCUUGCCAUGUAUAUAAUUUAGGUCCAUUUCUCUCCUCUGUUGAAGAUUAUGAGCUCAAGGAAAUGCCAAGUGUUGCGUUUUUUCAUUAUUUGCUUUUGAAGGGUCACGUAUCUCUUGCCAUCUUGUUAAUUUUGCUUAAUUUCUUUCCUUUAUUGAAGAGUAUGAGCUGAAAUGACUGUCAAGUGUAGUGUUUUUUUGUAUUUAUGAGGCUUAUGAUUGUGUUACAUGUGUCCUAUCGUCCCUUUGAUUUCGCUCUUCAUUUCUCUUCUUCGCCGUAAAGAAAAUGAACCAAAAGGAAUGCUGAAGGAAGCGUGUUUUCAAUGUUUACUUUCCGAGGCUUAUGAUUGUGUGUUACAUAUCUCCUGUCAUCUGUUGAGGAGUGGUUAGUUGCAUCUUUUGUCGUACUGUUUCAUCCUUGGUCCUGUCUUCCUUACUGUAAAAAAAAGGCGUAAGGAGUGCCCAAAAGUGUCAUACAAGUACCUCCUCUGUUUUCUUGCUAGAGGGCAUUCAUUCAUUGUUUUCUGGACAUAUUUUUCUUCCCUAGUUGCAUCUUAAGUCAUAUUUUGUCUUCCUUACCGUAAAAGAAAGGCUGAAGGAGUGCCCAAAGGUGUCAUACAAGUACCUCCUCUGUUUUCUUGCUAGAGGGCAUUCAUUCAUUGUUUUCUGGAUGUAUUUUUCUUCCCUAGUUGCAUCUUAGUCAUAUUUUGUCUUCCUUACUGUAAAAGAAGGGCUGAAGGAGUGCCCAAAGGUGUCAUACAAGUACCUCCUGUGUUUUCUUGCUAGGGAACAUUCAUUCAUUGUUUUCUGGACAUAUUUUUCUUCCCUAGUUGCAUCUUAGUCAUAUUUUGUCUUCCUUACUGUAAAAGAAAGGCUUAAGGAGUGCCCAAAGGCGUCAUACAAGUACCUCCUUUGUUUUCUUGUUAGGAGGCAUUCAUUGUGUUUCUUCCCUUGGUUGUCUCUACCAUUAAGAAAGACAAAAGAAAUACCCCAAGUAGAGUUUUUCCAGUACCAGCUUUCCAAGACACACCCAUAUUCUCAGAUGUUUUAGCUCUCAACUAAUGGGAAACAUAUGCUAGGCUUGUAAAACUACCCAUGGAAACACCCACACAACGUCUAUGAAAGUUGUACCAAAUGUGGGUGUGUCAGCCCCUAAAUGUUUGAGGAUAUCGGCCUAAGUCAUUCAAGUAUCUCGUAUUUUCUUUGGGUCAUCAAUGUUGCAUCCUUUUUUCUGUUAUUUCAUCAGUCAUUCUUUGCUAUUAACUCUUAGACGGCGGUGGAACUACAUAUAGACUGUCCAAAACUGAGUCAGUUUUGUUUGGCAGAAAUAUAACACUUCCAGAUUGUGGUAGAAGCUAUAUAUAGACGAUAGUUAAAACGUUUAUUAUGUGGUGUAACUAUAUUUAUGCUACGGUCCUAGGGUCGGCAGUGACUAUACAUAGACCAUUCAUUUUUGGGGAGCUACUCUUCAAAUAUUGCCGCCGUCUAAGGGUUAAGAAAAUGUCUCAAGGAGUGUCAUAAGUUACAUUUUCAAGACACCAGCUUCUGGAUUUCACAUCAAACUGUUAGUAUUUCCUCUGAGGCAACGUCGAGGUUAUGAAUCAUUCUCUGUUUAUUUAUGAUGUAUGUAAAGAAAAGAAUUUUUGUAUACAUGUACUGCUCAUUAGUACACUUAGAGUAAGGAUAUUUUUGUGAAUAAAAAAUUACAAACUGAAACACUGUGAUCUUGUUUCAUUGUAGCUUUAGUAAUUAGUAGUAAUAUAGUAAUCUAGUAAGUGGAACUGUGUGUCAGAGAAAGAGAAGAGAGGGAAAAAUAUAAAAUUAGUUAGGAUACAAGUAGUUAGGAUAUGUUAAGGAUAGUACACAGAGAAGAGGUAAAGAAUUGAAUGGGAAACUUAAUCAAUUCUGACCAAAGAAAGAUUUUCUGCAUAACAAUGGCUGUUAUACAUGACUGCCAAGUGUGGUGGCUGCCAAGUGGAUCUGUAAGCCUCUAGAAACGCACCGAGGAUCAUGGGUUGCGGAUGACAGAGUACUGGAUGCCCGGUUCAAGGCUUUUGGUGGUUCAUGCUAGGCCGAGUCCCUCCCACAUUGCAGUCUUGCCAGAAAAAAAUAGGUGUCUUAAAUCAUUGACGUUUUAUUUGGUAGUACAGCAGAUUUUUACUGUUUUUUUUUUGUUUGUUUGUGACAGUAAUGUUAUGCAAUAUGAAAGAACACUUAAGGUAUUUAGAAAACAGUCUUGACGUAUUUUUUUGUAAGCUUUUAUAUGUAUUUUUUUUUAGACCCAUUUCCCAGAUAUAAAUAAAGAAUUACUGUUUUUGCAUCUCAACAACGAUGAAGCCAGCACAGCACAGUAUGUAGUAUAAGUUUUAUCGACUCAAAGGUGGGCGUCAACACAAUCACGAAACUCAGGUCGGCGUCGUCAAGGGACUCACUAUGUCAACACAACCGAAGUGGAUGUACUGGUUACGAACGGUUCACUGGAGAGUUGUUGGGUGAGUGCAGUGACCAGUCUGUACACACACACACGUCAACCACUCCACUUAGUACUCGCUUCAGGAUGCAAAAUGCCGCUCGGAAAUACUGAGGGUAAUCUUAUGAGUAGAAAUCCCUUAUUAUCACCUCAAGACAAAAUGCUACUCAGAAAUACUUAACCGACGUGUGAAAAUGAACUGGUUUGCUUGCGGAUUAUUGGUAAGGGGAAGGGAGGGUCUGUUAACUAGAAUAUCUAAGGGCUAUUAUUAUUAUUAUUCUCACUUCAAGACAAAAUAUUGCCCGGAAAAACUUAAAACUGAGGUGUGAAAAUAAAUUGGAUUAUUGAUAAGGGAAAGGGAUGGUCUGUUAACUAGAAUAUCCAAGGGUUCCAAGGUAGUCUUAUGGGUAGGAAUCCCUCUUUACCUUCUUCUGUUAUUAUUAUUAGUGAGAUCCAUGAAAGGGCAUCAAGGGAAAAUUAGAAAAAAACAGCUAAUGAGUUAAAUUAGCCACUGUUGAUAAUAUCAUUAGAAUAUAUCCAUUAUCAGUGCUGCCUCUUGUAAUAACUGUGUCAUAACCCUGAGCCACUAUCAGUCAGAGCAUCAGGUGUGUAUGAGUAUGUUUGUUCACUCUCAUCUCUAGGCAAGUGAGAAGGUUACAUCCAUUGGUUUCGAUAUCCAUUAACACUAUAGUCUUUUAUCGUCAAUCUCAUACAAUACUGUCAAAAUAAAGAUUGAUAUAAGCUUACUUUACUUUGUCAAUGGUUCGUUCUCACACGUCAGCUCGAAUUUUAAGCCUUACCAUCAAAAUAAAGAUUGAUAAGGUUUCUGUAUUUCGGUAACAGUUCAUUCUAACACGUCGGUUCAAUAUCAGAGAAUUUCUUCUGUUUAUUUGAGUUUAUCCGAGUACUGAGUGGAAUGGUUAGUGCGUGUGGGGACCGGCUAGCACACCUGACGUACGGUGAAGUCCGGGUAGUAGUGCGAAAUACAUCAUAAGCUUUGCGUUACCAGUGACGGCAAGCAAAAUGCACUGAUUAUCUAUGAACCAACCCACGUCUCUCAAGCUACAGAUGAAUAAACACCCAUCAAAAUAUAUAUACGUACGUUUUCCAUACAUACAUUUACAGGAGAUUGAUGAAUAAGUCCAUAAAAAUCAAAAGAAGCUAUUUGCAUAUCAUUUAUAAAAGUGUCCGUGAGUACAACACUUGAGAAGAAAAAGGAACCAAUUCUACAGUCAAAGAGUUUUCCGAGGUGAGUAAAAAUAAUAAGGACAGAUCGUAGAAGACUUGACAACUGGCAAUCAGAUCUCUCACACACAAACUAGUCGGCGGCUUUCUACAUGAACCCGAAAACAGCCAUUAUGAAGCUUGGUAUUAGAACAGGGUGUGGGUGAACUGAAAAACACAAUAUCCUUGGUACACUUCUCACAGUUCUAAUAUUCAAAAUCAAAGGGAAAUCAUUAUCAUUAUCCUACAGAGAACAGUAAUGCAGUGACUAUACAGUGGAGUAAAUCAUCUCUUGGUUGGUCGGCUGGCCCCACGAUAUCCUUGAGGGCAGCCUCCGCAACACCACCACCACCACCACCUCACACACCAGAUCAUACCUCACAUACGCUACUCACGCCAAACCCAUUAAUCCCUCAAGACAAGCAAGCAAUAGUGAGAAUCUGAUUAUAGUGACAAUGCAGGACCUCACGCCAUCAUCAUCUUGCUCUAGCACUAAUAACAUCAUCAGCUGGGAGUCCUGCAUCAAUGACUUGCCUGUGUCUUACCCCAUUCAGUGACUUGCUGGUGAAAUGAUUAUAGAGACAAGGCAAAGGAUCACUCACUGAGCAUUACCUUCCCAUAGCACUAGUUACAUCGCCAGCUGAAGGUGCCUGUACACACACACACACACACACACA